rnacentral:lncRNA from 1 species
AACGUCAGUAGUUCUAGCUCUUGAGGCUUAUAAAUAAAAAAGGCAAAUAUAUUUGGACACUUAAGACAUUUACUUGAAAUUAAAAACUGGUGAUUUAUCACAAGUAAUUGUCUUAGAAGAAACCAGGAUUGCAAAUAGAGGACUUAACUAGGUUAGCCUGAAAAGAAGUGGGCAGUCUUCCUGGUGGCAGCUAGAAGAAUCAGCUCAAGAGCAAAGAAGAAAGGAGCAUGGUUGAAAGAGAAAGCUAUAAAGAAGUGGAUUUGGUUGUACAUUCAGAAUGGAAUAGAGAAUUAAGUGUGGUACCAGCCAUGGUAGUGCAUACCACUAAUCCUAGCUAUUUGAGUGAAGCAGAAGGACUGCAAGCUUGAGGCCAACCUCCACAAAAGGAAAAACAAAGAGAAUUGAGUGUGGUCUUGUAAAUAGUGUGGAUUCUGUCAGAAUAACAUUGACUACUUGAAAGGGAAGAGAUGAUCUUGAGGUCAGACAGAUUUAGGUUAAGUGGCAGUUUCUUUCCUUAUUAGUAUAUGGCUUUGGGCAAAUUACUCAACCUUUCCAAGCUUCAAUUUCCUCAUCUGUAGAAAGGAUAAAAUAGCAUAAGGGUUGAUGUGAGGAUAAUUUUUAUUUUAUUUUAUUUUAUUUAUUUAUUUAUUUAUUUUUGUGCUACUGGGCAUUGAACCUAGAGCCUACAAGCAGUGUACCAUAGAGCUAUAUCUCCAACUUUUUUUUUUUUUUUUUUUUAAUUUUGAGACAGGAUCUCACUUAAAUUGCCCAGGCUUUCCCUUGAAAUUGCAGUCUUCCUGCCUUAGCCUCCCAAGUAGCUGGGAUCACAAGCAUGUAUCACAGCACCUGAUUAGAAUAAACUAUUACACAUAUAAAGAAAGCACUGAGCACCUGGUAAGCCCUUACAAUAUGUUAGUUACUAUUAUUGUUAUACAGAGGACUUUGCUUCUUUCUUGACCGUAAGAACAGGUGAGAGCAUCAAGGAUUGGAUUGGAGGUAGAUGCAAAGGGUGUGGAUUCUGUCAGAAUAAAUGGAAAAGAACCAAAGGAAAGUAGAAUUGGACUGCCACUUUCUGGCCUUUGGCUGGGGCUCUCUCCAAAUGGAGUUGUGGAAUUGUCAACUCCAAGAGCCCUGGGUGGCCUUGGAGUCGAAAGCUUGUGAGCGCCCUCAUGUAGAUCAUUUGUGGUGAAACUGCUUCAUGUCUUGUGAACUGCCCUUUAUAAAUGUAUUGCCAUUUAUAAAUAAUAUACAUAUAUGUAAUCUAGAAAGAUAAACAUUAACCUUAUCAUUGGCAACCUACAGUGAGGGAGGUGGAAUUGGACAGGUACAUGUGUGUGUGUAUAGCUGAGUACUUGUAUUUGAUUACUCUCUAUCUCUCUAUUGUUUGAUUUUUUUUUUCCCCAUGAGAAUGGGUUCAUGUGCUGGAUAAAAAAAAAAAAAAGAUUAAAAGGAAAUCAAUCUGGGGCUGGGGAUGUGGCUCAAGUGGUAUCGCGCUGGCCUGGCAUGCGUGCGGCCCGAGUUCGAUCCUCAGCACCACAUACAAAGAUGUUGUGUCCGCAGAAAACUAAAAAAUAAAUGUUAAAAAAAAAAUUCUCUCUCAAAAAAAAAAAGAAACAUACUCUAUUAAAAAAAAAAAAAGGAAAUCAAUCUGAUAACAAAAGAAGAUGAAGAAAAGUACCUUUAGAAACUGCUUGGAAUUUAAGUCCUGCCUGCCUGAUGCCUGAUUAAAGCCUCAGCCCUGGAAGAGACCACCAGAUUAAAGGCCCUGGGGAAAAAGGGAUUGGAAAGUUUUGGUAUCCUUGUGGUAUUUGCUAGUCCCAUAAGGGCAAGGCACCUGGCAGGAAGUUUCCAGUAUAAUGGGAACUGCUCCUCUUUUUAAGGCAUACAAUCCAGGGCUAGAACAAUUCAACAAGUGCAUGGAAUAUCAGAGACCUUCUAGAAAUGCUGAAUUUGUACCACGAUGUUCUGAGGUCCAGGGUAUUUCUCUGGGCAGUCUCAAGGCUUAGCAGCUCAGCUCAGUCCAGCCCAUGGUGUCUCUGCCUUCAGUGGCCCUCUCUUUCAGAGUUGUGGCCUUCCCAGGCCUGUGUGCGGCCCCGCCCCUCUCUCUGGACGCAUCUCUGGGCCCCAUCAUCACCCGGCGCCAGGCCCUCCCUCCUGCCCCCCCCUUCUCCUCCCUCCUUCCUUCCCUCCCUUCCUCCCUCUCUCCUUCCCUCCCAGCUCCUGCACCAGGAAACGGCCCGGAUCCCAGCAGCGGCCUGACCCGUGAGAUCCCUAACCUGGCAGGCGGGCGGGGUUGGAGACCAGUUGAAGGUGGGGGUAAGGUAGGAGCUGAGCCUUUGGGCUGCACUGGGGGGAGCCGAGAGUAGAGAUGGUGCCGGCAGGAAGCCCUUGGCCCUGGGUUUCCCGGGAGGACAGUCAUUAAACAUGGAUUCAGCCACACAGCUGGUAGAGCGUUGGGGGCAGGGACCAGGUUCCAGGAGCUGCAACCCCAGCCCUUCUCAGGCCAGAUCCUGAUCCCUGGCCUUCCCUGCAUAUUUCUGAUCUCUCUCACCCUUUUUCAGGGCUCCACGCUGGCCGGGAGGAUGAAAGGCCCCAGCUGGGGGCUCCUUGCCACCAGCGCUGGGUCCUAAGAGCUGCCAUCCAGGCUGGGUGAGUGUCCCCUGCCUUUCUCUGUCCCAGCACUCUUUGGCUUCUCCCAUAUUUUUUCAGCCCUUAUCUCCUCCCAUCUUGUGCCUCUGCCAACAUCUUCACAUCUUGAUUCUGGGUAGGUUUAAGCCCCUUCCUGUAGCCAAAAAGGUGUAUACUAUGGUGGGGGUGGGAGGGAGCUGUUGAGAUGUUAUAGAGCUGGUGUUAUCUUAUGCAAAGAAUCUAUUCUAAAAAUAAAAUUUCCUUGUUUUACAUUUAAUUUGGCAUAUAACAAAUUCAGUGUCCAGCCCCUAAUGCCCUGGCCCUAUGACAUAAUUUAAAUCCCUUGUUUCUUGCUCUUUGGUGCCCAGGGGUCUCUGAUCAUACCUCCUCCCCCACCUCAUCUUACUGAGUUGGACAAACCAAAAACACCCCUUCUGGGCCUCUCUAUAUUUCAUGUAUUCAUGCCAGUCUUUCAUCCUUGCCCCUUACAGCCGCCCGGAUGGCGACCCCAGCCUCGGCCCCAGACACACGGGCUCUGGUGGCCGACUUUGUAGGCUAUAAGCUGAGGCAGAAGGGUUAUGUCUGUGGAGCUGGCCCUGGGGAGGGCCCAGCAGCUGAUCCACUGCACCAAGCCAUGCGGGCAGCUGGAGAUGAGUUCGAGACCCGCUUCCGGCGCACCUUCUCUGAUCUGGCAGCUCAGCUGCAUGUGACCCCGGGUUCAGCUCAGCAACGCUUCACCCAGGUCUCUGACGAACUUUUCCAAGGGGGUCCCAACUGGGGUCGUCUUGUGGCCUUCUUUGUCUUUGGGGCUGCCCUGUGUGCUGAGAGUGUCAACAAAGAGAUGGAGCCACUGGUGGGACAAGUGCAGGAGUGGAUGGUGGCCUACCUGGAGACGCGGCUGGCUGACUGGAUCCACAGCAGUGGGGGCUGGGUAAGAAGUUUCUCAAAUGCUGCUCUGCACAUCCCUCUGCAAAGCUGUUCUCCAGGGGGAAUAUGGGGGCUCUGAUUGGAGGCUGGGACAGCUGUGCUGGGAAGGAGGCAUGGGGCUGAAUUCUCCUAUUUAGGUGGAGUCAGACUGAGGUUCCCUCACCGAGCAUCACAUUGGACUCUGUACUCCAGGGCUGCCAUACAGUUAUCACUGCAUGGGCUUAUGGUCCCAAGCAAAGGACAGAAUACACAGUACCCAAGAAGUGCCUGCAGGGAAAGGUGUUACACCUGAGUAUAUGGCACGAGAGGUGGGGAGGAUCAGGGAUGGGUGGUGGUCAGGCAAGCCUUGGCAAAGGAUGCCAGUUCUAAGCAGAAUUUUUCAUCAAGGAAAGGAUGAGGCAGUGAGUGCAAGUGAGCCAGGCACUGGGGCAGAGGGGCUGCACAUGGGGGGAUCAGAGGGCUUGCAGUUGGUAGAGCUUUGGCUGGAGAGGAGCUGGGUAUGGGAUAGUGCUCGCAGUGGAUGGAACUGGAACUCUUCCUCUCCUCUUCUCUCCACUCUUUCCUCUCCUGAUAUCCCUUUCUCCUUCUUUCUCUCCUACUUCCCUUCUCUCCCACAGGCGGAGUUCACAGCUCUAUACGGGGACGGGGCCCUGGAGGAGGCACGGCGUCUGCGGGAGGGGAACUGGGCAUCAGUGAGGACAGUGCUGACGGGGGCCGUGGCACUGGGGGCCCUGGUAACUGUAGGGGCCUUUUUUGCUAGCAAGUGAGAAAGUUCAGGGCCAGGUGGGGCUAGGUGUGGCUGGGGGCCAGGAGAGCAGGAACAGAGAACAAGAAGUGAAGUGAAUGGUUGGGCAUGGAACAGGGAAGGGGAGAGGUAGCAUGUGAGGGAACCAAGUGUGCCAGGCAGGUGAUUGGAAGAGUGAGCUACAGUUAUUAAGGAGUUUUAAGAAAAUCAGAGGACCAGGAGAUGGAGUCAUUCCAGGGUUUGGGGGGAGGUGGGAGGGAUCAUGCCUAUAGGUAUGGGCACAUGAAACUACCCAGAGAUGAAUUUGCAGCGCUGAGGAAGGUGGACUUGCAUAAGGAGUUGUGUCUCCCCUGGAUAAGUGGGUUUUGGGGAACUAGAAGGCAUAUCCCUUUGGAAUGGAAGCUUAGGGUUCUCAGGUGAUUGGGAGAGGUGGCUGUGGCUGUGGGCUGCUUGGACACAAGUGUGCAUGUGCACGGGUACUCGUGUGCAUGCUGGGCUGUUUGUCUAAUCUGGAGGUGGUUCAGAUUCUUCAAGGAGAAAACAUUCCCUUUUGCAGUGGCAAGAACAAGGGACAGUUCUCUGCCCCUCCUCCCAAACCCUCUUUUCCCUUCCCCUUGUCCAGAUGCCUCAAGGCUGAAGGAGAAACACUGUAUCCAGACGGAGGGCUCUGGCACUUCUCAGCAGAAAGUUGUUGGUAGGGCUUUGGAGAGAAAGCAAUUCUGCAGCUGGCCUUGUUCCUUCAUUACCCAUUUUCCUGUGCAUCAUGAACUUCCUGCUGCCUCCUGGGCUCUGACAGAAGUGCAGGGCUCUGGAGCAUGGGCAGGUGAAGGCUUCUUCAGUAGCUGGAUAUGCCUGCCACCCUCCCCUCCCACUGGGGCACAAUGGUGCCUAAUAGCUCUGGGACCUCUGUACCCAAACUGAAACUCUAAAUUGGGGCUCAAUUUUCCUUUUGAGGAUGUAGACAUAAAUGCUGAUCUAGAAUAUAGUCUGGGUCCCACACUGUUUCUCAGUGAGACUGUUGAUUCCUUGAAAAGACCAUUCUAGCUUGAGCCCUGUGGGGUGAGGGUGACAGGUACUCUAUGACUGGGCCUAUUCUGUGUUGUGGGCUUUGGUGCUGCUUUAUUAGGGGCAGGUGUAUGGGUUUGAGAGUACCUACCACGAUCUGGAAGCAUUUAUAUUUCAUUGAAGCCACGCUGUUUGCAUGGGUGUUGUUUGUCUGUACCUCAGAGUCUGAGGAUGCUAACUUUAGAACUCACAGUCCUCUAGAACAGAUUCAGGCUAUAGCUUUUUCUUUUAAAGAAGAAAUGAUUCACUCCAGAUGCAUGUCCUGAGCCAGACCUCACUGCUGCACUUUCCAAGGUGCUAAAAUUUGCUGCUCUCCAAUGCUGACUUCAUUCACAGUGCUCUAGAACCCUGCCCAUAAUCCUGAGCACUGAUCAGUUUAGCUAGACAUGGUUGACUCUUCUUGGAGAUUUUUACUUGGUCCCAGAAUAUGGCAACAUGGAUGUGUUUGUUAGAAAGUGGGACCAAAUUGGCCUCAGGUGUUUAGUCCAGACUUUUGCUUUUGAGAGAGGGCUGCACUUUUUAAUGGUCUCUAUGGGGGAGGUGGUAGACUGCAUAUGCCACUUGGUCUGUUGUGAGUAUGCUGAUAUUAGAAACUCAGAGCUGGUCUAUGGCAGGCAGUUGGGGUGGGGGGUCUGACUUGCUCAGGACUAACUAGGCCAGUGGUUUUCAAACUGCUUGGCAGAGCCCCAAAGUAUCCUAGGGGUUGCCUCAGGAGUCCUUGGGGAGAUGAAGGGGAUGGGGGCUGAGCAGGCUGGGCAACUUGCCCUCAAACAGAACAGCUCCUCUUGUAGCUGUCUUACAUACCGGGGUUCAGGGUAAGAUUUUAUUUGCAUUAAGGGUUUUGCUGCUGAAAAAUAAAAGUUGGAAAACCACUGACUAGACCAUCAGCUCCAAAUUGGAGCCUGUGCUCCCCAAGGUUUGGGGCAGACUCUUCACUCUACCCACUACCACAAGAUACUUAUCUGUGUUAGCAUUCCUGGGGGGCUUUAGCAAACUGGGGCAGCAGGGACCAUGAUCAGGUUACCAAAGUGCCCCAUUCUGAGGCCUUCACACCUGGGUGGAAGGAGAGGCUUUUUUAUGAAAGGGUAAAGGGCUUGGUCUGGAUUCCCAAAAGCAGAGCUUGGAUGAGAUCACAGUGGGCAGUUUUGACCUGUUUUGCCCUUCUUAGUUUGAGGAGCAGUGGAAACCCCAGAGACUCUUCUGUCAGGGAAAACUAGGGACUCUCUUCUAGAGCCAUAUAGUUCCUUGGGAUUAGCUCUUGGCCAAGAAGGCUGAGUAUGGCUCCCAGUUUUUAAAUUCAUUUAUUUUUUUUUAAUGAGGAAAAUAAAUGUAAUGGCCAUUUUUCAAAGAUUAAAUAGGUGGAGAGGGUGUUUCUUGCUCUCCAGAGCCCAAAGGGACAAAUAGGGACUUUGCUUAGGCCAAGGAAGGACUGGAAGUAGGGCAACUGGGUCCUGCGAUUAUUAAUUGUACUCCCCACUUAUUGUAGGGCAUACAUACACUAUUUUACUUUUUUAAAAUCAUAAAACGGCAGGAGAACAGAUUUGGUUAGUUUAGAAGAAAAGAAAAAGCUCUAUAAAUAUAAAUAUAUAUUCCUGUAUUUUUAUUUAAUAAUUUAUAAAUAUCAAGUUCAUUUGACUUUUAUUUUUGUGUAAUAUGUAAUGGUCGUAUUAAAAAAAUAAAUAAAGCCCAGAAGUUUAAUGAGAAGGACUGAACAGGGUUUUGUGACUUUAUACUGUAUAACUGGGGUCAGAACAUUCCUCGAUCCAAUCAUCUGUUCGUGAUAUUGCUAAGGGCAAGAAUUAGAGUUAUAGGGUUUUGGGAAACUGUUGAGAUUAAAAAAAAAAAAAUCAGAGUUGUUCUACCAUCUUCCUCACCCCACCCCUAUUCUGGUCAAGUACCCAAAGCCAAGAACUCCAUCUAUCCCAACCCAAGCUUCAAGAGGGUGUAGGUAUAUGGUACUUUGGGACCGCCACAAACAAAAAAUCAAAACAAAGAAAACCUCCCUAAAAUCUUUAUGCAAAAUCAACUCCCCAGCUAUUGUUUGGCCUCAAAUCAGAAGUGUGUGAUAAUGAUCCUUUCUCACUGAUGCCUACUUCAGAUUUAGAAUAUAUCUAUCAGAAAUGGAGCUCCUGCUUUCUUGUCUAGUCCCCAGAGAUAUUUGGUUUCAGCCAUUUCACUGCAAACUGCUAAUUGGAUGGAAUCUCCAGGAUUAUUCAGUCCAUUCCCCUCUGUACCUCUAGUUAGGACCACAUCAGAAUCAUUUCUGACAGGAACCGUGAUUUUAAUUUUAAAUUUCAAAUGGAAAUUUCUGAUCUUUCUAUAUCCCAGUGCAAUAAAUUGAUGUUUGGGUUUAUGUGUUAAAUUGUGAGAAAUAAUUGCUUAGAG